rnacentral:SRP_RNA from 1 species
GCCAGGCAUGGUGGUGUAUGCCUGUAAUCCCAGCUACUUGGGAGGCUGAGGCAGGAUAAUCACUUGAACCCAGGAGGUGGAGGUUGCAGUGAGCCGAGAUCAUGCCACUGCACUCCAGCCUGGGUAACAGAGUGAGACUUCGUCUCAG